UACGGAGGGGGCUAACGUUGUUCGGAAUUACUGGGCGUAAAGCGCACGUAGGCGGCUUUGUAAGUUAGAGGUGAAAGCCCGGGGCUCAACUCCGGAAUUGCCUUUAAGACUGCAUCGCUAGAAUUGUGGAGAGGUAAGUGGAAUUCCGAGUGUAGAGGUGAAAUGCGUAGAUAUCGGAAGGAACACCUGUGGCGAAAGCGGCUCACUGGACCAUUACUGACGCUGAGGCACGAAAGCUAGGGGAGCAAACAGG
rnacentral:rRNA from 1 species